rnacentral:rRNA from 1 species
UGAACGCUGGCGGCGUGCCUAAUACAUGCAAGUCGAGCGAACAGACGAGGAGCUUGCUCCUCUGACGUUAGCGGCGGACGGGUGAGUAACACGUGGAUAACCUACCUAUAAGACUGGGAUAACUUCGGGAAACCGGAGCUAAUACCGGAUAAUAUAUUGAACCGCAUGGUUCAAUAGUGAAAGACGGUUUUGCUGUCACUUAUAGAUGGAUCCGCGCCGCAUUAGCUAGUUGGUAAGGUAACGGCUUACCAAGGCAACGAUGCGUAGCCGACCUGAGAGGGUGAUCGGCCACACUGGAACUGAGACACGGUCCAGACUCCUACGGGAGGCAGCAGUAGGGAAUCUUCCGCAAUGGGCGAAAGCUUGACGGAGCAACGCCGUGUGAGUGAUGAAGGUCUUCGGAUCGUAAAACUCUGUUAUUAGGGAAGAACAAAUGUGUAAGUAACUAUGCACGUCUUGACGGUACCUAAUCAGAAAGCCACGGCUAACUACGUG